GACGAACGCUGGCGGCGUGCUUAACACAUGCAAGUCGAACGGAAAGGCCCCUUUGGGGUUCCUCGAGUGGCGGACGGGGGCGUAAGACGUGAGUAACCUGCCCUUGACUUCGGGAUGACUUCAGGAAACUGGGGCUAAUACCGGUAAGGCAUCCUUGCUUCAUGGUGGGGGUUGGAAAGCUUCGGCGGUUUUGGAUGGACUCGCGGCUUAUCAGCUUGUUGGUUGGGUAGUGGCUUACCAAGGCUUUGACGGGUAGCCGGCCUGAGAGGGGGACCGGCCACCAUGGGACUGAGGGACGGCCCAGACGGCUACGGGAGGCAGCAGUGGGGAAUAUUGCACAAUGGGCGGAAGCCUGAUGAAGCAACGCCGCGUGCGGGAUGACGGCCUUGGGGUGGAAAACCGCUUUCAGCAGGGGAGACGCUUGUGGUGACGGUACCUACAGAAGAAGCACCGGCUAACUACGUG
rnacentral:rRNA from 1 species